rnacentral:rRNA from 1 species
GAUGAACGCUGGCGGCGUGCCUAAUACAUGCAAGUCGAGCGAACAGACGAGGAUCUUGCUCCUCUGACGUUAGCGGCGGACGGGUGAGUAACACGUGGAUAACCUACCUAUAAGACUGGGAUAACUUCGGGAAACCGGAGCUAAUACCGGAUAACAUGUUGAACCGCAGGGUUUAUCAGUGAAAGACGGUCUUGCUGUCACUACUAGAUGGUUCCGGGCCGGAUUAGAUAGUUGGUAAGGAAACGGCUUACCAAGGCAACGAUGCGUAGCCGACCUGAGAGGGUGAUCGGCCACACUGGAACUGAGACACGGUCCAGACUCCUACGGGAGGCAGCAGUAGGGAAUCUUACGCAAUGGGCGAAAGCCUGACGGAGCAACGCCGCGUGAGUGAAGAAGGUCUUCGGAUCGUAAAGCUCUGUUAUUAGGGAAGAACAAAUGUGUACGUAACUAUGCACGUCUUGACGGUACCUAAUCAGAAAGCCACGGCUAACUACGUG